rnacentral:rRNA from 1 species
AAAUUGAAGAGUUUGAUCAUGGCUCAGAUUGAACGCUGGCGGCAGGCCUAACACAUGCAAGUCGAGCGGAAACGACAUUAUUGAUUCUUCGGAGGAUUUAUUGGGCGUCGAGCGGCGGACGGGUGAGUAAUGCCUAGGAAAUUGCCUUGAUGUGGGGGAUAACCAUUGGAAACGAUGGCUAAUACCGCAUAAUGCCUACGGGCCAAAGAGGGGGAUCUUCGGACC